rnacentral:rRNA from 1 species
GAGUAGACGCGAAACCUUGUGAUCUACCCAUGGGCAGGCUGAAGGCCGGGUAAAACCGGCUGGAGGGCCGAACGCACCAACGUUGAAAAGUUGGGCGAUGACCUGUGGGGAGGACUAAAAGUGUAAUCAAACUGGGAGAUAGCUCGUUCUCUCCGAAAUAUUUUUAGGAAUAGCCUCUUGCGGCAACUGUUGGGGGUAGAGCCACUGGAUACGGAUGGGGCCCUCGGGUACCCACUGUAACCAAACUCCGAAUACCAACAGCCAAGGCAAGGGAGUCAGCCCACGAGUGACAAUAUCCGUGGACAAAAGGGAAACAUCCCAGACCGCCAGCUAAGGUCCCUGAACAUUGCUUAGUUCUAAAGGAAGUCGAAGCGCAAAGACAGCCAGGAUGUUGGCUUAGAAGCAGCCACCAUUUAAAAAGUGCGUAACAGCUUACUGGUCGAGCAAUUCUGCGCCGAUAAUGAACGGGAGUAAGCAUUUCACCGAAGCAGCGGAUUCGAAAGAAUGGUAGGAGAGCGCCGAUCGUCAGAUACGAGCCGUACCGUAAGGAGCGGUGUUGGGGCGAUCGGGUGAUUAUGCCGGAAUGAGUAACGAUAAAACAGGUGAGAAUCCUGUUCGCCGAAAGCCUAAGGUUUCCUGGGGAAGGCAAUUCCGCCCAGGGUUAGCCGGUCCCUUAGUCGAGGCUGAAAAGCGUAGACGAUGGACAGCAGGUCAAUAUUCCUGCGCUACGGUUGUGGACUGAUGGAGGGACGGCGUUUCAAAGGUGAUCGGACUGGUGGAACAGUCCGUGGGCUCUAGCAAGGUGAGGAAUAGGCAAAUCCGUCCUCAUAAGCCAAGUUAGAGCGCUGACUCUUCGGAGGUAAUCAUCAGCGGGACGUCCAAGAAAAGCUUCUAAAGGUUGAAGCAACUGUAACCGUACUAAAACUGACACAGGUAGGCGGGUCGAGAAGACCAAGGCGCUCGGGAGAACGGUGGUUAAGGAACUCUGCAAAAUGACCCCGUAAGUUCGCGAUAAGGGGUGCCCCUGGCGGUUCACGCUGCUGGGGGCCACAGUAAAUCGGCUCUGGCAACUGUUUAUCAAAAACACAGGACCCUGCCAACUCGCAAGAGGAUGUAUAGGGUCUGACGCCUGCCCGGUGCCGGUAGG